UACGUAGGGUGCAAGCGUUGUCCGGAAUUAUUGGGCGUAAAGAGCUCGUAGGCGGUGUGUCACGUCGUUCGUGAAAACCUGCAGCUUAACUGUGGGCGUGCGGUCGAUACGGGCAUCACUGGAGUUCGGCAGGGGAGACUGGAAUUCCUGGUGUAGCGGUGAAAUGCGUAGAUAUCAGGAGGAACACCUGCGGUGUAGACGGCUUACUGGACCAUAACUGACGCUGAGGCACGAAAGCGUGGGUAGCAAACAGG
rnacentral:rRNA from 1 species